CCUGAGACAUUUUUUACUACAAAAAGAAAAAUCAAGGAUGUCAGUCACAAAUUUAAGGAAAAAAGGAAAUGAAUGAUAAUUCAGCUUAACAAAAAAUUUACAUCAACAAUUAUGAAGAAACAUAGAACUGCAUGCAAAUACAAGUGAAACCAUAAUCCGCCUAAAACGAAGACAGUGUAUCAUCAUGAUAAAAAAGAAAAUGAAAAUAAACAUAAAAACUGACUACAACAGUGCAGACCUUUCCCCUUCUCAAAAAAAACACACAACUCAGACCUUUUGUGACUCACAAAAUGACAUUUCCAGCGCUUAAAAGAUAUUGGGAGAAUUUUAUCAGCUUAUACAUUUGCCCCGGAGCAAGUGCUGCAGAUGCAAAUGUCGAGAAGUUUCUCCCAGCACACAAGUAUUGUGUCAGUCAAGUUUUCUGGCUUUUAUUUUCUUGCCUUCUUGCACAUAAUUGGCUCCAGCAGAAUGAUGCCAUGACACUUUUGUGGCCUACUGAUGCUUUACAUGCACUAAAAAUAAAAAAUUUUGCUGGAACAUUGUAUUACCAACAGAUUACAUGCAUAUUACCACCAAUUUUUUUUAAUUUUGCGCCCGAAUGUUUCUGAAAAGCAUGUUUCGACUGUUUUAAACUAAUUUUUCAGACAUAAUUACAUUUUCCAAUAGUUUCUAAUUAAUAAUUUGAUCAAUCAAAUUGACAUAUCUAUCACACUAAAUGCAAAUGUAAAUCAACAUUAAUUUUUAGUAAUUCUCCAUGAUAUUCAACAUUAGAAAUUCGAAAAAAAAAAACAUAAACAUAACAGUUAACAAAACAUCCCAACAAAGUAUCCAACAUUAGGAAGUAUUUGAUUAAAAAUAUCCCGAAAAGACUAGCAAAGACAUAAAAAAUAAAAACUUAGCAAGAGGAAAUCUUCCUAUGACUUAAUUUGCAAGUAAGAUAAAGAAGAUUAAUAAUGUGAAAGUUAGAGAGGUAAUUAAGAAAAUGUGAAAUCUGUCCAGUACGUAGGCUUCAUUUCACGCAAUAAUGUGGUAUAGAUAAAGGGAGCUUAUAAUUGAAUUCACCCAAAUGCUCAACUCAGGGCACGGACAGGAUGUAGGAAACUACAGCCUACACGCUACUUAUUGUCCAAAAAGCUGAAAAGCCAUUAAGCUCACUUCUUUUAUUUGUUAUAAAAUUUGUAUAAAUAUAAUUUUGAUACACAAAUAUACAAGACGAUGUGAAACUAUUUUUCUAAUGUUAAUUCUACUGGCAAAGAUCAUGAAGCAAAAUGAGAAAACACGAAUAAUUUCACAAUUUUCAUAAGGAAUGUCAAUGUCUUCAUACAACAACUUUAGUCCACAUCCAAAAACCAAAACAAUAGCCCACUAAACAACUGAGAUGAGCUUUCUACGGCGUAAAUACAAACUAGUAUUAAAAUGAAAACAUUUUACAAGAACCUUUCACCCCAUUCUACACACUUAUCGGGCACAAGCAAGCACAAGACAUAAAGUUCUUUUUGAAAAGUGAAUGAGCUUUAUAUUAUUAGUUAGCAAACAUCAGAAAUUUUUACACUUGUAGACCAAAAACAAUUGACCACACACUAAAGACCAAAACAUAUAAAUCACAUAUUCAUCUAGUAAUCAGCGAAAACAAAUCAAAACGAGAAGCAAUGCCCAAAACAAAACAAAUUAACCCAAUCCCCGUCGAAAUACAAAGAACUUUAUUUACCAUUUAUAGGUAGUGUCUGAAAGCCUAAACAUCUGAAACCAUCAAAUCCAUAUUUAGGAAUUUUUAAGAUCCUAAAAUAGCAAGACCGGACACUUUCUUUAGGAAGAGUGAAGUAAGAGCAUAAUGGUAUAGUAAGUUAAGCACGGACAUAUUGACACCAAAUCUUCAAAAACCCAAAAUAAAAACUGCUGCAAGUAAAAGCAAUUCACAUGCUGCUAUUCACAGUCCGGAAGAAGGUGCAAGCAAAUUAAUUUUUCCCUAAACCAAAAGAAGAUUAGGGUUUCGGUUUGAAAUGUUUUCCUUGUUUUAAAACCUCAUUAACGAGAGAUCUCGACAAAAGCACUGAAACUUGCUUCGCACUUAAACUUAAAUAAACCAAUCUCAAACAGUAAAACAUUAUCAAUUUCCAAAAUCCAUAAAUCAGACAGCUGCAUUUCAAGUUUUCCUUUUUUUCCUCUCCCGUUUUUUCAGCAACAAAAGAUAACACCGUCAACUAAUGAAUCAAUAACUCAAUAAAUCAAGAACGGAAAUGAAAUGGCCUACCUGAUUUAAAACGUAAAACCCUAUAGCCAGAGCUGAAUCAGUAACGGACUCGAAAGUGUUUUCCAACAGGAUUCAAGACGCGGUAGUGUACGUUGCAGCAACUCCGUAAGCUCAAAGCUUGAAGGAAAACAAAAAUUAAAAAACAAAGCAGGCAAGAUUAAAGGAAAAAGCAAAAAAGCCAAAAAAAAAAAAAAAAGUUGCAGAAGAAGGGGAAAGGGGUUCAAAAAUGAAUACGAAUAAAGGAAGAAGGGAAACCGUUAUUACCGGUUACAGCCGGUCGCAUACGGGAUUUGAUUUGUACAAC
rnacentral:lncRNA from 1 species